ACGGGUGAGUAACGCGUGGGAAUCUACCCAUCUCUACGGAAUAACGCAUGGAAACGUGUGCUAAUACCGUAUACGUCCUUCGGGAGAAAGAUUUAUCGGAGAUGGAUGAGCCCGCGUUGGAUUAGCUAGUUGGUGGGGUAAAGGCCUACCAAGGCGACGAUCCAUAGCUGGUCUGAGAGGAUGAUCAGCCACACUGGGACUGAGACACGGCCCAGACUCCUACGGGAGGCAGCAGUGGGGAAUAUUGGACAAUGGGCGCAAGCCUGAUCCAGCCAUGCCGCGUGAGUGAUGAAGGCCCUAGGGUUGUAAAGCUCUUUCACCGGUGAAGAUAAUGACGGUAACCGGAGAAGAAGCCCCGGCUAACUUCGUGCCAGCAGCCGCGGUAAUACGAAGGGGGCUAGCGUUGUUCGGAUUUACUGGGCGUAAAGCGCACGUAGGCGGACUAUUAAGUCAGGGGUGAAAUCCCGGGGCUCAACCCCGGAACUGCCUUUGAUACUGGUAGUCUUGUGUUCGAGAGAGGUGAGUGGAAUUCCGAGUGUAGAGGUGAAAUUCGUAGA
rnacentral:rRNA from 1 species